AGAUUCUACACCUUCAGCUGGAAAGGGCAUCACUGAAAACAGAAUACCAGCAGGGAUUGGGAGGAGAACUUUGGAUGAAGUGAGAAUGAUGGCUCUGAAGGCAAUGAUGAGUACUUAUAUGGACUGAGUUAACAACGAUAAUGACCCACGGUCUUAAGAGAAAUGGAAGCCACCACAAGAAAAGUUAAGAACCUCACCAGCCAAAGCACCAGAAACUUGACCUUGAAAAACCUUGCAUGAAGAGAUACACAAAAUAGCCAAAUAAAUACUGUUUCAAAAAUA